CUGAGGCAUCGUUGCUUGCCAGUGGAAGCAUUUUCUUUCAGCUCCUCUUAUGCCAAAAAGGAAGUGCCACACCCCCAAUCUCGCCACUCUACUAAGAAGGAGAUCGGAAAAUGCUUUGUUCACUCUUUUGCCAUCUUCUGAGCCUCUUCCUCCCCUCCUCACCCUCUUCCUCACCAUAUCUGUCUAUAAGUUCUUACACAAGUUUGAGGCUUGUUAUGGGUCAUUGCCUUGCUGAAUAAUGAAGGACUGCUGAUCAUCUGCAAUCUUGAGGGAACAGCAUGCCUAUGAAAUAUGCUGCGAUAACAAGGCUGGUUCAGAUUGCCAUUGAUUUGGAUUUCCCUGGAGUGGUCAGUCUGCCCAAGAGGAAGGUGUGGAAUCCUCCGGGAAGUUGGAAAGAACCCAAGAGUAAAACGAAGAG